GACGAACGCUGGCGGCGCGCUUAACACAUGCAAGUCGAACGGAAAGGCCCUGCUUUUGUGGGGUGCUCGAGUGGCGAACGGGUGAGUAACACGUGAGUAACCUGCCCUUGACUUUGGGAUAACUUCAGGAAACUGGGGCUAAUACCGGAUAGGAGCUCCUGCUGCAUGGUGGGGGUUGGAAAGUUUCGGCGGUUGGGGAUGGACUCGCGGCUUAUCAGCUUGUUGGUGGGGUAGUGGCUUACCGAGGCUUUGACGGGUAGCCGGCCUGAGAGGGUGACCGGCCACAUUGGGACUGAGAUACGGCCCAGACUCCUACGGGAGGCAGCAGUGGGGAAUAUUGCACAAUGGGCGGAAGCCUGAUGCAGCAACGCCGCGUGCGGGAUGACGGCCUUCGGGUUGUAAACCGCUUUCGCCUGUGACGAAGCGUGAGUGACGGUAAUGGGUAAAGAAGCACCGGCUAACUACGUG
rnacentral:rRNA from 1 species